rnacentral:rRNA from 1 species
GUGGGGAAUAUUGGACAAUGGGCGAAAGCCUGAUCCAGCCAUGCCGCGUGUGUGAAGAAGGUCUUCGGAUUGUAAAGCACUUUAAUUUGGGAGGAAGGGCAGUAAGUUAAUACCUUGCUGUUUUGACGUUACCGACAGAAUAAGCACCGGCUAACUUCGUGCCAGCAGCCGCGGUAAUACGAAGGGUGCAAGCGUUAAUCGGAAUUACUGGGCGUAAAGCGCGCGUAGGUGGUUUUGUAAGUUGGAGGUGAAAUCCCCGGGCUCAACCUGGGAACUGCCUCCAAAACUGCAUGACUAGAGUACGGUAGAGGGUAGUGGAAUUUCCUGUGUAGCGGUGAAAUGCGUAGAUAUAGGAAGGAACACCAGUGGCGAAGGCGACUACCUGGACUGAUACUGACACUGAGGUGCGAAAGCGUGGGGAGCAAACAGGAUUAGAAACCCGAGUAGUCC